rnacentral:rRNA from 1 species
ACAACCUGGUUGAUCCUGCCAGUAGUCAUAUGCUUGUCUCAAAGAUUAAGCCAUGCAUGUCUCAGUACAAGCCAAAUUAAGGUGAAACCGCGAAAGGCUCAUUAAAUCAGUUAUGGUUCCUUAGAUCGUACCCACAAUUACUUGGAUAACUGUGGUAAUUCUAGAGCUAAUACAUGCAAAUAGAGCUCCGACCGGAGACGGAAGGAGUGCUUUUAUUAGAUCAAAACCAAUCGGUGGCGGGUUCGCUCGUCAUCGUACAACUUGGUGACUCUGAAUAACUUUACGCUGAUCGCACGGUCUUCGCACCGGCGACGCGUCUUUCAAAUGUCUGCCUUAUCAACUGUCGAUGGUAGGUUCUGCGCCUACCAUGGUUGUAACGGGUAACGGGGAAUCAGGGUUCGAUUCCGGAGAGGGAGCCUGAGAAACGGCUACCACAUCCAAGGAAGGCAGCAGGCGCGCAAAUUACCCACUCCCGGCACGGGGAGGUAGUUACSAAAAAUAACGAUACGGGACUCAUCCGAGGCCCCGUAAUCGGAAUGAGUACACUCUAAACCCUUUAACGAGGAUCAAUUGGAGGGCAAGUCUGGUGCCAGCAGCCGCGGUAAUUCCAGCUCCAAUAGCGUAUAUU